rnacentral:ncRNA from 1 species
AGUUAUCCGCCAAACGUCAAAAGCGGCGGGCGUUGCGAGAUGCGACCUCGUAGAAAAGCGUA